rnacentral:rRNA from 1 species
UAAGACGAAGGAUGCAAGCGUUAUCCGGAUUCAUUGGGUUUAAAGGGAGCGUAGGCGGACCGAUAAGUCAGUGGUGAAAUCUCCUCGCUUAACGAGGAAACUGCCAUUGAUACUGUCGGUCUAGAGUACAGUUGCCGUUGGCGGAAUAUGACAUGUAGUGGUGAAAUACAUAGAUAUGUCAUAGAACACCGAUUGCGAAGGCAGCUAACGAAGCUGUAACUGACGCUGAGGCUCGAAAGUGCGGGGAUCAAACAGG